UACGUAGGGGGCAAGCGUUGUCCGGAAUCAUUGGGCGUAAAGAGCGUGUAGGCGGCUCGGUAAGUCCGCUGUGAAAGUCCAGGGCUCAACCCUGGAAUGCCGGUGGAAACUGUCGAGCUAGAGUCCGGAAGAGGCGAGUGGAAUUCCUGGUGUAGCGGUGAAAUGCGCAGAUAUCAGGAGGAACACCAAUGGCGAAGGCGCCACUCUGGGCCGAAACUGACGCUGAGGAGCGAAAGCGUGGGUAGCAAACAGG
rnacentral:rRNA from 1 species